rnacentral:rRNA from 1 species
GUGGGGAAUAUUGGACAAUGGGCGAAAGCCUGAUCCAGCCAUGCCGCGUGUGUGAAGAAGGUCUUCGGAUUGUAAAGCACUUUAAGUUGGGAGGAAGGGCAGUAAGUUAAUACCUUGCUGUUUUGACGUUACCGACAGAAUAAGCACCGGCUAACUUCGUGCCAGCAGCCGCGGUAAUACGAAGGGUGCAAGCGUUAAUCGGAAUUACUGGGCGUAAAGCGCGCGUAGGUGGGUUUGUAAGUUGGAGGUUAAAUCCCCGGGCUCAACCUGGGAACUGCCUCCAAAACUGCAUGACUAGAGUACGGUAGAGGGUAGUGGAAUUUCCUGUGUAGCGGUGAAAUGCGUAGAUAUAGGAAGGAACACCAGUGGCGAAGGCGACUACCUGGACUGAUACUGACACUGAGGUGCGAAAGCGUGGGGAGCAAACAGGAUUAGAAACCCCAGUAGUCC